GACGGGUGAGUAACGCGUGGGUAAUCUGCCCUAAAGUGGGGGAUAACAGUUGGAAACGACUGCUAAUACCGCAUAUGCUGACGAGAUCUCAUGGUCAUGUCAGCAAAGGUGGCCUCUGAAUAUGCUACCGCUUAAGGAUGAGCCCGCGUCUGAUUAGCUAGUAGGUGGGGUAACGGCCUACCUAGGCAACGAUCAGUAGCCGGCCUGAGAGGGUGUACGGCCACACUGGAACUGAGACACGGUCCAGACUCCUACGGGAGGCAGCAGUGGGAAUAUUGCGCAAUGGGGGAAACCCUGACGCAGCGACGCCGCGUGAGCGAUGAAGGCUUUCGGGUUGUAAAGCUCUGUUCUAAGGGACGAAUUGCUUUGAUGUGAAUAAUGUCAGAGAGUGACGGUACCUUAGGAGAAAGCCCCGGCUAACUACGUGCCAGCAGCCGCGGUAAUACGUAGGGGGCAAGCGUUGUCCGGAAUUACUGGGCGUAAAGAGCGUGUAGGCGGGCAUUUAAGUCAGGUGUGAAAGACCGGGGCUCAACUCCGGGAUUGCAUUUGAAACUGGAUAUCUUGAGGGCAGGAGAGGAAAGCGGAAUUCCUGGUGUAGCGGUGAAAUGCGUAGAUAUCAGGAGGAACACCGGUGGCGAAGGCGGCUUUCUGGACUGUCCCUGACGCUGAGACGCGAAAGCGUGGGGAGCAAACAGGAUUAGAUACCCUGGUAGUCCACGCCGUAAACGAUGGGCACUAGGUGUAGGAGGUAUCGACCCCUUCUGUGCCGCAGCUAACGCAAUAAGUGCCCCGCCUGGGGAGUACGGUCGCAAGGCUGAAACUCAAGGAAUUGACGGGGCCCGCACAA
rnacentral:rRNA from 1 species